rnacentral:lncRNA from 1 species
AUACUAGGGAAGGCAUCGAGCUUGAGGAAGAGGCCCCAUUCAUCUCCGUACCCCAGGCCCUGGUACACAGCAGAUAAACCUGCCAGUAAUUUCAGCAAAUGAAACGUGGAACACGUCAAGGCCAGAGGAUGGAAAAGGCUCCAGUUUUGAUAAAAGGAGGCCUGCUUGGCUUGGAAUCCUCUCUCCUGCUGGUUGGGAGAUGCAAAGAUGUUUCCAGAGAGGGGCUGAUGAAUUGAGGGGAAAGAAAUGAGCCCAGUAUGAGUCCCCUUUCAGGGCUGAGCGUGUAUAAAACCAAACAACUUGGAACCGCUCCAAGAGAGGGGAUUAAAGCAACAUGUUAUUCUGAGUGAUUGCUUAAUUUAUUGAGCUGCGGCUGGAUCUGUAAUGAAAUACAGCCCUUGUAACUGAUAACCUCCUGCUGCCAUUGAACUUCUACAAUUAAGGAAUAUUUUCUGAGUUUCUCUGGAACGGCUCUGAAUUUUUAGCCUCUGUGGUAGGGUGCUUCUGAACAUUUGUUUUCCAGGCAAUUUUUUUUGAGUAUUAGGCUGAUGUUAAUAAAUAAGCAGCAUU